GAUGAACGCUGGCGGCGUGCUUAACACAUGCAAGUCGAACGAUGAAGCCCAGCUUGCUGGGUGGAUUAGUGGCGAACGGGUGAGUAACACGUGAGUAACCUGCCCUUAACUCUGGGAUAAGCCUGGGAAACUGGGUCUAAUACCGGAUAGGAGCGUCCACCGCCGGGUGGGUGUUGGAAAGAUUUAUCGGUUUUGGAUGGACUCGCGGCCUAUCAGCUUGUUGGUGAGUUAAUGGCUCACCAAGGCGAAGACGGGUAGCCGGCCUGAGAGGGUGACCGGCCACACUGGGACUGAGGGACGGCCCAGACUCCUACGGGAGGCAGCAGUGGGGAAUAUUGCACAAUGGGCGAAAGCCUGAUGCAGCGACGCCGCGUGAGGGAUGACGGCCUUCGGGUUGUAAACCUCUUUCAGUAGGGAAGAAGCGAAAGUGACGGUACCUGCAGAAGAAGCACCGGCUAACUACGUG
rnacentral:rRNA from 1 species